AUGCCCCCCGACGAGCCCUUCGUGCUCCGCUUGAACGAGAGCCUCGCCUUCGAGCCAGGUGGGGCGAGUCCAGGGCGAGUCCAGGUGGAUCGAGCGAUGACGGGGCGGGGCGGCGAGCUUGCGCCCCUGGCCGCCCUCGACCUCGCCAUGGGGCGUCUCCGGGUCCUCGGCGUCGGCGCCCUUGGCCGACUUCGACCGCGUCAUGGCACGCCGUCAAGCACGCCGGGCGCGUCAUGGUGCCGCGGCUGCAUCCUCUGCACGGGGAGCACCACGGGGAUGAUGGGCGGGGUCGCGGUGCUCCCCUACAGCCUCUCGAAGGCGAUGGUGGUGAGCGUGGUGCGGCUGGUGGCAGAGGAGCUGGCGCGCGACGGCGUGCGCGUCAACGCCAUCUCGCCGCACGCCAUGCUACGCCGCUGCUGGUCCGGUCGCUGGCGAGGGCGCACCCGGGCUAGGCGCUGCUUGCACGCGGGCACGCGGCCGAGGAGGACGCCGUCGAGCUCGCCGAGAUGCACCGCGCUGGAGCAGUUGCGCGUCGACGGCCUCCCCGGACGGCUACGAGGCGCUAGAGAAGGAAUCGGGGCUGGCCUUCGCCUCGAGCACUCCGUACGCCGACCACGCGCGCUCCAGUUGAACGUUGGACUCCUCCGGCGCUGCUCCGCCCCGCACGGACGCGCUCCACGCUCGAGAGAAAGGGGCAGGGGAGAGGAGAGAGGAAAAGAGAGGAGAGAGGUCGUGGGAGGCCGACGGUGGGCCAACCGCAAGGAAAAGGCAUCGCCGGCACGCCCAGCUGCUUCCCUGGGGGUGGGUUUGGGGUGA
rnacentral:rRNA from 1 species